rnacentral:rRNA from 1 species
UACUCCUACGGGAGGCAGCAGUGGGGAAUAUUGCACAAUGGGCGCAAGCCUGAUGCAGCCAUGCCGCGUGUAUGAAGAAGGCCUUCGGGUUGUAAAGUACUUUCAGUUGUGAGGAAGGGGGUGUAGUUGAUAGCUGCACAUCUUGACGUUAGCAACAGAAGAAGCACCGGCUAACUCCGUGCCUGCAGCCGCGGUA